rnacentral:lncRNA from 1 species
CAGGAGAAUCCUUUCCAACGCUCCGAGCCUCAGUCUCCUCGUGUGUGAUGUGGGAAAUGCCAACUAUCGCACCCUGGAGGUGUUGUGAGGAUCCAAGGAGCGAGGCUACGCGAAUCGCUGGGCACAGGGCCUGGCAGAUUGAGAACCAGGAGCUCGCUGCUAAGUUGUCAGAGCCUUGGGAAUGAAUACAAAGGAGGGAAAGGACAGGUUUCUCUCCACCUCUUCUAUUUUAAAAGUACUCUUGCUUGAGUACACCACAGUAGAGGCUGCCAACUCGAACACUUGCAGGGUGGGGGUCGCGCCAGCCAAGGGCAGCCGUAGGGGCUCCGCCUGGAGCUGAGCCCGUGCCCUCCAGCCCCCGGCGGCCAGUGGGAAGGGCAAAUCUUCCAGUUUUUCUUGACAGGCUAGAAAGCUGAUUUUCUCUAAGAUAACUUUCAAUUAUUUAUUUAUUUGGUACCAGGGAUCAAACUCGGGACCUUGUGCUUGGAAGGCAAGCAGCAGAACCACUGAGCUAAAUCCCCGGACCUUCUGUGCCAGUCUGCUAUCUGCUCUGGCCCCCAGUCAUGGCAACGAGGGAGACAGUCUUGGGAAGAGUCUCAGGACCUGCGUCCUCACCUGCAAGCUCCCAGUCACUUUCCAGGAGCAUCUCUGCACCUCCCCGGAGGACAGGGUCCUCACCCGUGCAAUGAGGUGUCAACACGAUGGUGUCUGGCACUCCUCUGAGAUCCAAGAUGGCAGCACUGUGCUGCUGAUGCUGCCCCAGUAAAGUGGUAAAGCUGUGGUUGGUGGCAUCUUAAGGACCUAAACAUGCAGACAUUCCUUCACUGAAGUGCAGAGGACACAGCCCCCAAAUGAGCAGGGGCUACCAGAGGCCCCCCUGAGACGAGGCGAGAAGGACACAACAGGCAAGUGAUCACGGAGGCUUUGUCACUGCCAAGCUGCAGCCCCUCGGUCUACAGUACACGUGUGUGAUGGGAACCAUAUGUCGUGUGAAACUGACACAGCUGAUAUGAAGGCAGCAUCCACUUUCCAGGUGAGGGAAGUGACAUCCAAAACAACACAAGGAUGACAUAGGGAGUCAGAAGUGCUGCCAGACCUGGCCAAGUUCCGCGUUCUCACGAUGUAGUCAUCCAAGGCUGGGAGGAGGAGAUGAUUUGGAAAGUCUCCCUUUCUUCGCUGACCUACUUCUGGUCUUAAAACCACAUUCCUAGAUGGCUACCUCCUUUUUUCCAAAGCAAAUCUCGCAGGAAGGGUGGAUGCUUUAACUGUCUGCCCCUCACAUCCUACUGAGAAUAAAAUCACUUGGUAUUCGCCCACGGCUGAGCAAUGAGGGUGUGUAGGAGAGGAGAUGCUGUUGAAGUAGGAAUUGCCCUCCACGGGCCCAGCAGCAGUGUGCUGUGGGAAUGCAUGGACACAGACAAAAAACAAACUACU